GAUGAAGAACGUAGCGAAAUGCGAUAAGUAAUGUGAAUUGCAGAAUUCAGUGAAUCAUCGAAUCUUUGAACGCAUCUUGCGCUCCUUGGUAUUCUGAGGAGCAUGCCUGUUUGAGUGUCAUUAAAUUCUCAACUACACUGACUUUGAAUUGGUGUGGCUUGGAUUUGGGGGGAAAAUUGUUGUGGGCUUUUUGUAUAGUCUGCUCCCCUGAAAUUGAUUAGCGGUACCUUUGUGGAACUGUCUACAGGUGUGAUAAUUAUCUACAUCUUAGACAUCUGCUGGAAUGCUGCUUUCUAAACCUUACUUGUAGUGACAAUCUUGACCUCAAAUCAGGUAGGACUACCCGCUGAACUUAAGCAUAUCAAUAAGCGGAGGA
rnacentral:misc_RNA from 1 species